UUGAGGCCCCCUAAAAUUGGGGGCCUAAGGCCAAUGUCUUAUUUUUGUAUACAUAUAGCCGGCCCUGAUGCUUGUAUGUGUAAGUGAUAAUGUCCAUGCUGCUCAGAUCAUGUCUAGUCCUUUAGGAAAGCUUAUUCUGACGAGUUAUUAGUGAAAAUGUAUGCUUCUUCAGUUGAGUUAAAGUACAUGACUUUGUUUGCCAGUAUUUGUGCCCCAUUAUAGAUAUAUGCUAUUCCAAAUUUUGCUUUACAACUACAUGAUAAUUUUGUUCCGACUUGCAGAUUAUAUCUUCAAGUAUUUAUUAGGCCAAAACUGAUUCGACUUGGUUCAAAUGCGCCUAUGAUUUUGUUUAAAUUUACAGCAGAAACUUUAAUGCAUAUUAGAAGUUACUCUACGUAUGAUUGGUGUUGUGAUAUGCAUGGUUGUGUUCGAGUAUUAGUCAUCUCGUUCUCUGCAAAUAAAAUAUGGUUUUAUAUGUUUGUUGAUCAUUUUUUAAGAAUUGAUUUGUGGUAUAUUUUAAGGAUUAGAAAUUUAGAUGUAUUUGUUAUGUAGUUCUGUGUGUGAGUAUAAGUAGAAAGAGCUUAAAAUGCCAAGUUAGAUCUUACUACUUUUAAGAAAUUGUUGUAUGUUUUUUUUUGUUUUGCUGUUGAAAAGAGACUUAAUUAUAGACAUGACAAAUUAUAUUAUUCAAUUCUUCUGAUAUGACAAAUUGUUUGAUUUGGUUCUUAGGACGUUUCUCCGUCCAUUUAAGCAUUUCACUUUAAUGUAUUUGUCUUUCUAAUUUUCAUUUCAAUAUAUUGAUAGAAUGGGAUUUGUAAUGGAGUGACUUAUUGACAUUGUUCAUGUUCAAGAUACUAGUGCUUCAUCUUUAAAGGAGGAAAUUUUUAAUUUACUUGCUCAACAUUCUUAUAGUCCAUCAAGUGUGCGUGGACAAUGUUACGAUGGGGCAAGUAAUAUGCAAGGUUCUUGAAUCACUUGCUCUUGAUGCAAGGAGUAUGGAUGAAGGAGCCAAGGGAAUGGGACAUCUUGAAGCUUGUCGAACAUUUGAGAUUGCGUUUAUGUUGCAUUUGAUGAGAGAUGUCUUAGCAAUCACAAAUGUGCUUAAUAAAUGCUUAAAAAAUAGCAAGAUAUUGCAAAUGUCAUGCUACUUGUUGAAGUAGCAAAGAGAAGGUUGUAAGUUUAAGAGAUGAUGAAUGAGAUUCUCUUAUUGCCAAGGUA